UACGUAGGGUGCAAGCGUUGUCCGGAAUUAUUGGGCGUAAAGAGCUCGUAGGCGGUCUGUCACGUCGGCUGUGAAAUCCCGAGGCUCAACCUCGGGUCUGCAGUCGAUACGGGCAAACUAGAGUAUUGCAGGGGAGACUGGAAUUCCUGGUGUAGCGGUGAAAAUGCGCAGAUAUCAGGAGGAACACCGAUGGCGAAGGCAGGUCUCUGGGCCACUACUGACGCUGAGAAGCGAAAGCAUGGGGAGCGAACAGG
rnacentral:rRNA from 1 species